GAUUGUAGUCAUAUGCUUGUCUCAAAGGCUAAGCCAUGCAAGUGUUAGUAUAAACUGACUUAUAUAGUGAAACUGCGAAUGGCUCAUUAAAUCAGUUAUAGUUUAUUUGAUGGAUACGUGCUUCGGUACACUACAUGGAUAACUGUAGUAACAUAGAGCUAAUACAUGCUUAAAGACUUGACUUUCGGGAAGGGUCCGCACUUAUUAGAUUACAAACCAAUACCACUUGUGGUUCCUUUGGUGAUUCAUAAUAACUGAACAAAUCGCAUGGCUUUACGCUGGCGAUGUAUCAUUCAAAUUUCUGCCCUAUCAACUUGUUGUUAGUGUAUUGGACUAACAAGGUGAUAACGGGUGACGGAGAAUUGGGGUUCGAUUCCGGAGAAGGAGCAUGAGAAACGGCUACUAUUUCUAAGGAAAGCAGCAGGCGCGCAAAUUAUUCAAUGGGAACAACUUCCCGAAAUAGUGACAAAAAAUAACAAUGCACGACUUUUAGUUGUGUAAUUGGAGUGAGUACAAUUUAAAACCCUUAACGAGUAACAAUUAGAGGGCAAGUCUGGUGCCAGCAGCCAAUC
rnacentral:rRNA from 1 species